rnacentral:rRNA from 1 species
UAGGGAAUCUUCCACAAUGGACGCAAGUCUGAUGGAGCAACGCCGCGUGAGUGAAGAAGGUUUUCGGAUCGUAAAGCUCUGUUGUUGGUGAAGAAGGAUAGAGGUAGUAACUGGCCUUUAUUUGACGGUAAUCAACCAGAAAGUCACGGCUAACUACGUGCCAGCAGCCGCGGUAAUACGUAGGUGGCAAGCGUUGUCCGGAUUUAUUGGGCGUAAAGCGAGCGCAGGCGGAAGAAUAAGUCUGAUGUGAAAGCCCUCGGCUUAACCGAGGAACUGCAUCGGAAACUGUUUGUCUUGAGUGCAGAAGAGGAGAGUGGAAUUCCAUGUGUAGCGGUGGAAUGCGUAGAUAUAUGGGAGAACACCAGUGGCGAAGGCGACUCUCUGGUCUGCAACUGACGCUGAGGCUCGAAAGCAUGGGUAGCGAACAGG